ACGCACGCUGGCGGCGUGCUUAACACAUGCAAGUCGCACGGAAAGGCCUUUUCGGAGGUACUCGAGUGGCGAACGGGUGAGUAACACGUGGGUGAUCUGCCCUGCACUCUGGGAUAAGCCUGGGAAACUGGGUCUAAUACCGGAUAGGACCGCACUUUAGUGUGUGUGGUGGAAAGUUUUUUCGGUGUAGGAUGAGCCCGCGGCCUAUCAGCUUGUUGGUGGGGUAAUGGCCUACCAAGGCGGCGACGGGUAGCCGGACUGAGAGGUUGGUCGGCCACAUUGGGACUGAGAUACGGCCCAGACUCCUACGGGAGGCAGCAGUGGGGAAUAUUGCACAAUGGGCGCAAGCCUGAUGCAGCGACGCCGCGUGGGGGAUGACGGCCUUCGGGUUGUAAACUCCUUUCGCCAGGGACGAAGCGUUUUGUGACGGUACCUGGAGAAGAAGCACCGGCUAACUACGUG
rnacentral:rRNA from 1 species